UACGGAGGGGGCAAGCGUUGUUCGGAAUCAUUGGGCGUAAAGGGCGCGUAGGCGGCCGAACAAGUCGGGUGUGAAAUCCCUCGGCUCAACCGAGGAACUGCACUCGAUACUGUUUGGCUAGAGUCCGGGAGGGGAUGGUGGAAUUCCCAGUGUAGCGGUGAAAUGCGUAGAUAUUGGGAAGAACACCGGUGGCGAAGGCGGCCAUCUGGACCGGCACUGACGCUGAGGCGCGAAAGCCAGGGGAGCGAAUGGG
rnacentral:rRNA from 1 species